UACGGGGGGUGCAAACGUUGCUCGGAAUCAUUGGGCGUAAAGCGCACGUAGGCGGUCCCUUAAGUCGGGUGUGAAAGCCCUCGGCUUAACCGAGGAAGUGCAUUCGAAACUGGGGGACUUGAAUACUGGAGAGGAUGGCGGAAUUCCCGGUGUAGAGGUGAAAUUCGUAGAUAUCGGGAGGAACACCAGCGGCGAAGGCGGCCAUCUGGACAGAUAUUGACGCUGAGGUGCGAAAGCGUGGGGAGCAAAC
rnacentral:rRNA from 1 species